rnacentral:piRNA from 1 species
UGAAGAAGAGGACCUGGAUGAUGAUG